rnacentral:tRNA from 1 species
AACGAGUUAGUAUAGUAAAUACCACCGAUUUAGGAUCGGUAAAAAAGACCUGCACCCUUACCCGUUA